GGUUUUCAUCGAGUUGUUAUACUAUAUGCACCAAAGCAUACACAUUUCCUUUACAAGGCAAUGCAAGCUAGAUUACUGAUUGCUGCUCUCCAUUUCAAUGAAAAUGGAAGUAAA